GGGAGAGGGGUGCAUGUAUGAAUGGCGCCCCCUACAGGUGUGAGGGCGCAGUGGCUGUGCUGCCCCUGGGGAAGGAUGGGCAGGGUUCCAGCUCUUUAAGGCCCUGGUGACAGCCCUCCUGGGAUGGCAGACUCCAUCUGGGCUCUUAGUGCAACUGGACCACCCAGGACCUGGCUGUGAGGGGACAUGGCCCUGCCCAGACCCUUGUGCUAAAAAAGCUAUUUAGGGACAUCAAACACCAUCAACACCACCACUGGCCUCAGUAUCUUAGUCUAAAUGGUCAGGCCAGUUCCAUACUGUUGACUUUUUAGCAUCACUGCGUGACCUCCUGGCAAUGGAGGAACAAAGUCCUUGCCAGGUGUGAGGGCUCGCCUGUCUCCAAGUGACAGUGGACAGAGGAUAUGUCCACUGGCUCUGCUGCCCUGGGCUGAGGGCCCAGCAAGUGAAGGGAGAGCUAGAAGUUCAGACCUGAUCGCGGCCUGGACCAGAGGAACAAGGGAGGCUAAGGAGCUCUUGCAGCUGGGCCAGGCUCCUGAAAGGCAGAUGGGAAAGGUCUGUGGGAGGAGGCAAGGGAAACGGAGGGAAGCCUCCUGGGUCAGAGCUCAGGAAGGGAACUUCCAAGGAUGACCCUGAGCAGUCCCAGGAACCUCAGAGAUGGAGCUGCCCAGAUCCUUCUCUGACCAGGGAUCAAACCCAUGUCCUCUGCACUGGAACCUCAGAGUCUUAUCCACUGGACCACCAGGGAAGUCCCCAUCCUCGUGUGUUAAGGUAUUUUCUGAGUGGUUACCAAUGGGAUUACAGAAGACAUCUUAUAGACAUAACUGUGUGUUUUAAACUGAUAACACCUUACCUCCAGUUACCUACAAAACCCCUAUU
ensembl:lncRNA